GGUCGUUUCUCCAGAAACGGCUGCGGGGACCCCAGCUUUGUUCUCCCUGUUUCUCGGGGACACGUAUCGCUGCCCUGGCCUCCUGCCGGACACCGUGCUAAAGGCCCAGGAGCAGGAAACCGAGGCCGGAUUCGCUGCCGCCCCCGCCAAGCCCUCCUCCAACACACACCUGCAGGGAGGCCGGCUGGCCUCUGGCCUCUGGCCUCUAACUUCCAGCUUUCGUUUUCGGUGUUCUUUCUAUUCUUAGCCUGAGCCCCACGCUUCCUCUCCGCAACAUGCAAAUGUCGGGCUGUCACAGAUGGCUGCAAAGUCACAGCCCGGUGUUCCCAGCAGCGAGCGUGGGAUUGCAUAGGGCUAGGCCUUCAUUUUGUAAACCUUCCUCGACUGCAGUUGGUGAGUUUUCCGCAAGCCGGCAUUGCCUCGGGAGGACAAUCGUUUUCCCGGGGAUCAAAAGGCAGGCAGGCCUCGCCCCUUGGCUUCCCCAUCUGAAAAGUGGGGCCCGACUAGCACUUUCCUCACCAGGCCAGUGAAGGGCAUAGCUUACGAACAUUAUUAAGCACCUUGUGCAUACUGGAGGUUGGGUCCUCGGGGGGCAACCAGAUGUGGACCCUGCCCUUGAGGGGCUGGUGGGGAAGACAGGUUUCCACAGGCAACUAAAAUUCAGAAUGGUGCACACGAUGGAGCAGUGAUGGGCACAUCUUGGGGGCAGCUAGAGGAGGGGGCUCUCCGGGGGGCCUGGACUUCUGAGCAUGGGCGUAGGGAAGGACGAGAGAGCCGGCGGCAUUCGGGGUGGACACGGGUCCGUGGAGGGCACUGCAUGGGGGGCAGGGGACGAGGGGUGGCACCUGGCUCCACUGGGCCCCUGCUUUAUUGGCAAGACUGGACCACCUGGCACCUUCAACAAGGCUGUUUUGAAGAGAUCUCUGUGACAGAACGACAGCCAGAGAUGUUGCUACAUCUUGCACGUGCGGGCUCCACGGCCCCCGAGAAACCACAGUGUCCCGUGGGAACACCCACCCGCAGCACCUGGGGACCACGAAGAUGGAGACAGGACCCGUCUCCAGGGAGCGGAGAAAUGCAGGCCGGUCCCCCAGCCCCUCCCAGGGCCCAUCUGCGCUGAGUGACAAUCUCCUCCUAAUGAGAAGCAAUAAAGGCUAAUUAUCCACA